AGUAGUAAUAGUUAUGGUCUUAAAACUUAAAAAAUUUGGCGGUAUUUUANCNUAUCCAGAGGAACCUGUUUUAUAAUCGAUAAUCCACGAUGGACCUUACUUAAUUUUGUUAAUCAGUUUAUAUACCGCCGUUAUUAAAUAUUUUAUAAGAAUUAAUAAUUUUUAAUAUUUUUUAUUAAAAUUAAUGUCAGGUCAAGGUGUAGCUUAUAAUUAAGUAAUUAAUGGGUUACAAUAAAAUUAUUUUUGAAUAUUAUAAAUGAAAUUUUUUUUUGAAAAUGGAUUUGGUAGUAAAUUUUUAUAGAUAAAAAAAUUGAUU
rnacentral:rRNA from 1 species